GACGAACGCUGGCGGCGUGCUUAACACAUGCAAGUCGAACGGAAAGGCCCUGCUUUUGUGGGGUGUACGAGUGGCGAACGGGUGAGUAACACGUGAGUAACCUGCCCUUGACUUUGGUAUAACUUCAGGAAACUGGGGCUAAUACCGGAUAGGAGCUCCUGCUGCAUGGUGGGGGUUGGACAGUUUCGGCGGUUGGGGAUGGACUCGCGGCUUAUCAGCUUGUUGGUGGGGUAGUGGCUUACCAAGGCUUUGACGGAUAGCCGGCCCUGGAGGGGGACCGGCCACAUUGGGACUGCGAUACGGCCCAGACUCCGACGUGAGGCAGCAGUGGGGAAUAUUACACAAUGGUCGGAAGCCUGAUGCAACAACGCCGCGUGCGGGAUGACGGCUUUCGGGUUGUAAACCGCUUUCGCCUGUGACGAAGCUUGAGUGACGGUAAUUGGUAAAGAAGCACCGGCUAACUACGUG
rnacentral:rRNA from 1 species